UUUUUUUUUUUAAAUAAAGGCUCCAAUUGCUGUGAAAAUGGGAAAACUGGCAAUAAACAGAGGAAUGGAGGUCGACAUCGCGUCAGGGAUGGCCAUCGAGGGGAUGUGUUAUGCCCAGAAUAUUCCCACAAGAGACCGUCAGGAAGGAAUGGCUGCCUUCAGGGAGAAAAGACCACCCCGAUUCAUUGGCAAAUAAUGCUUCCUGGCUUCCCUUUGAUUUUUUUUUGAG